GUAAACGUUGGGCACUAGGUGUGGGGGACAUCCCACGUUCUCCGCGCCGUAGCUAACGCAUUAAGUGCCCCGCCUGGGGAGUACGGUCGCAAGGCUAAAACUCAAAGGAAUUGACGGGGGCCCGCACAAGCGGCGGAGCAUGCGGAUUAAUUCGAUGCAACGCGAAGAACCUUACCAAGGCUUGACAUACACUGGACCGUUCUGGAAACAGUUCUUCUCUUUGGAGCUGGUGUACAGGUGGUGCAUGGUUGUCGUCAGCUCGUGUCGUGAGAUGUUGGGUUAAGUCCCGCAACGAGCGCAACCCUCGUUCUAUGUUGCCAGCACGUAAUGGUGGGAACUCAUAGGAGACUGCCGGGGUCAACUCGGAGGAAGGUGGGGAUGACGUCAAAUCAUCAUGCCCUUUAUGUCUUGGGCUUCACGCAUGCUACAAUGGCUGGUACAGAGAGAGGCGAACCCGUGAGGGUAAGCGAAUCCCUUAAAGCCAGUCUCAGUUCGGAUCGUAGUCUGCAAUUCGACUACGUGAAGUCGGAGUCGCUAGUAAUCGCAGAUCAGCAACGCUG
rnacentral:rRNA from 1 species